GAUGAACGCUGGCGGCGUGCCUAAUACAUGCAAGUCGAGCGAACGGACGAGAAGCUUGCUUCUCUGAUGUUAGCGGCGGACGGGUGAGUAACACGUGGAUAACCUACCUAUAAGACUGGGAUAACUUCGGGAAACCGGAGCUAAUACCGGAUAAUAUUUUGAACCGCAUGGUUCAAAAGUGAAAGACGGUCUUGCUGUCACUUAUAGAUGGAUCCGCGCUGCAUUAGCUAGUUGGUAAGGUAACGGCUUACCAAGGCAACGAUGCAUAGCCGACCUGAGGGGGUGAUCGGCCACACUGGAACUGAGACACGGUCCAGACUCCUACGGGAGGCAGCAGUAGGGAAUCUUCCGCAAUGGGCGAAAGCCUGACGGAGCAACGCCGCGUGAGUGAUGAGGUCUUCGGAUCGUAAAACUCUGUUAUUAGGGAAGAACAUAUGUGUAAGUAACUGUGCACAUCUUGACGGUACCUAAUCAGAAAGCCACGGCUAACUACGUG
rnacentral:rRNA from 1 species